AUAAAUUUGUCAGUUUGAAGUGUUAAUCGUUAAUAUCAUUUUCAUUCGUUUCGUAGAGUGUGAGUGGAUGCAGUACACGGAAAGAAUAAAUAAAGAAUCAAUAGUAGUAUAAAUAUACUAUUUUUAUUACUCUCAUUGACAGUUGUCGAACGUGCUACAUCAUGUACAAUAUGUUCGCUGUUCGUGCGCAUAGUGCAGUGAUUUGAACAUUUGUUUUCUCGGUGAUACAACUCUAAACUUGCCAUGCAGUCGUUGUGCCGGUGGAACAUUAGGAGGAACGUCGUUUUUUUGGCGAUGAUAAUGACAGUGGCAGGCGUACUUGUUCUAUAUAACAGUGAAGAAGAUGACCACGACGUCCGGUCUUCUGUAGUUCAGCGUAACGCUGACGAUAAAUAUGAUUUUGUCGUGCAUGCUUCGAUUCAUCACACUGACGAUUGCUUUAGGAACAAUAUUAGAUACGGAAUCGAGCAUCUGUAUAAAAAUGUUUUAUUAUGGCGUUCAUCUAAGAACAGUAAAUGUAAAGCAAGUUUUGAGAAAUUUGACAAAAUUUACAGAGUAGAUAUAAGAGAAGGAAAGAUAUAUUUCCAUCCAAAGUUUGCAAACAAAGUCCAUGAGUGGCUAGGAUAUGAUCCAAAACUGUUCGAAGAAGUUAAACGACAAAAAGUCACCCAUGUGUAUCAUAAAUAUAGCCACAAACUUACAGCAUAUAAUCCGUUAAGGGCGAAGAGACCUACAGCAAAGCCCCAGAAACCUCCGAAACUAUACAUAGAAGAACUUAUAAAUCAAACACUGCCAGGGUGUGACUUUUGUAAUGCAGCGAUUAUGACUGCUGGGGAAAUAUUUGGGCGCGUUCAAGGGAAAUCAUCAAGAAGUGCUGCGAACACGUUUAAGAUUGAUAAAUGGCACGGACUUUUCAUCCCAGAUAAACAUAGUAUAUUAGAAAUCACUAUUCAAGAGUUUGUUGAUCUCUUUAACACUUCGUUGCAGUGGUUUGGCACAGUCGCUUCAAUUGAUAGAAAUGCUCGCUUUCCAGUCCUCUUUUGGGAUACGUUCCCUGCUGCAGGAGCCAGCCAGGUGCAUGUUCAUGUACAUGGAAUACUUGGAGAUGAACUUUACCGUGGAGCAUUAAAUGCACAGUUACGUGUUUCCAAUCAAUAUAUAUCGGAAACAAGUCGCAAUUAUUGGCAAGAUUUAGUGGAGGUUCAUGACAGAUUAGGACUAGCAGCGUUUUUUGGUAAAGCUGUGGCAAUUGCUCCUUUAACAUCAGAGAAAGAUCAUGAGUUGCUGCUGAUUAGUCAGAUGCCCAACACUGACAUAUACAGUUUAUUGUAUUUUGUUAUCCAGACAUACCACAGCAUUGAUAGAUUUUGUUACAGUUCAAGUAUGGCACUACCACUUAUUGGAUAUGAAAGGUUGCUGCGUAAAUCUGAGUCACUUCCUACAAUUAUUAGAAUUGGUACGAGAGGAGAAUGUUCUUCAACAGUUAAUGAUUAAGUGAUGAAUUAGUAGGAUGCAGUAAAAUGUGUACAUGCUGGAAAAAGUGUGAUGUAGGCUGUUAUCUACAGACAUACCUCACAACGAAAAGUAAUUUUUAAGUGCACUUUGUGUGGCUAAUAGUGAGUCCACUGUACAUCAAGCCCCUUAACUGCUAUCAGCUGUGCAGUUCACCUGAAAUUGAGCUCAGCUGAUGAUCAAUGUGUACACAAUGUCAUUGAACUGGCAAAACAGUACAAAUUGAAGCUGUUUGUUCCAAGCACUAUUGGUGCUUUUGGUCCAGAAUCACCUCGCUUACCUACUCCAAAUGUGACUAUACAACGACCAAAGACGAUAUAUGG
rnacentral:misc_RNA from 1 species